AUUGCCUUUGUAAUACUCUCUUCAACAACUGGGAUGUGAGGAUCCCUCAGCUCACCUAGACAUUUCUCAAUGAGCCUUGUAUCCACCAAGCUGUGACAGAGAUGAGGGGAGGAAAAAGAAGACUUCUUCACUCUAAGAUGUGGGACUUCACUGAAGAGGAGAUGAAGAGGGAGCAGCCCAAGGGCUUUGCAGCUUUAGGGCCCUUCAGCGCCUGGAGUAUCAGGUAGAAAUGUGGGUCAUAGGUUUACAAAGAGGAGGUGAAACAGUUUGUUAUCCGACUGUUUUAAAGGCGCUGAAGUCACAGGAGAGUUCUUUCUGAGAGGAAAUUACCCCUCGCUCUUCGUCUGCUUAUAUUCAGGACCAUGGAUAUCAAAUUAAAACAAAUGAACAUGUCAAGUGGUGACUCUUCCAAGGGGGUCGGAUUGCUGAGGGGAAAUGUGGGGAAGAAAAAAAAAAAAGGUCUGGACACUUCAGCGUUGAUGACAAGCUGGUCACACCAUGUAAGAUACAUUUUUAUGGACUGUUGCACAAGUGAGCAGAUGGACUGAGCAAGGCUCAUUAAUCUCAUUUGCAUUUUCACAUUGUGAUCUAAUCAAUAGGAUUUUUUUUUGGUAUUUACAUUUUACUGCUUUCGCCUAGCAGUACGAAUGUGUCUUUAAAUAAACAUGCACUUUGUUGGUAAUACCAUAGGGCUACAUAACAUUUGUAUUAUUAUUACUUGGGCACAUACGCACCUCUAAUAGGCCACUGAGAAACAUGGAGCACAGAGAAUUGGAAUCCUGAUCAGGGCAAUGCAAGCUCCAGCCAGGCUGGGCUGUCAGGCUGACCAUUCCUUGCAGUAUCCUCUCAAGGCUGGGAAGGCCAUAGAAACGCGGCGCAUCAGACACCCGAAGGCUCUGAAGCAAACGCAUUGCCAGCUGGCUCUUAAAGGGACCAGCCAGCGCCAGAGAAAUCCUGGAGAGAGAGAUGAAAGAUAGAGCAGACAAUGAACCGUAUAGGUUGUUAUAAUAGAUGUGAUUUAAUGGUGUGGAAAAAAAAAGGUGCGAUGGGAGGAUUCUUCAGCCAAACGUACCUGUCAGUGGUGUGUGUGAGCCGGAGCAGUAUUUGGUUAAAUAAGCAAGUCAGCUCUCUCUGUAGUUUCUGGCCAACAUGGUGUUUCAGUUCUUCCUGGCUUCGGGCAGACUGGUCCUUCUCCACACCAAGAAAGAGAUCAAGAAGGGAAACAUGUUCCUGUGAAAAUACAACACACACAAGUGAGCUUAUUUUGAUAUUGAAGAUUCACAAUUGAUUCACAAUCACACGGUGACACAUUAGCAUUAAGGAAGACUGGUUACCAAAUAUCCUGAAGUUACCUGUUAAAACCUAGAAGCAACAGCUGGUAUUAGCUUGUGACUUCACACGGCAUUUGUCCAAAACACACACAGACUGAAAGUUGGUUCUGUGGGCAUGCAGAGGAGGAAUAAAAGCCAAUGAAGAGUGUCGAACAUAUCAUUGGUUCUGAUCACAUUAAACUAUUUCUCACCAAAGGGACACGCUUUAAAAUCAAUUCCAGCACUGACUGGGAACCAGUUCAGAAAUUUUACGAUGACAUAGAAAGCCAUUCCAUGAUGCACCAUUUGGGAUAUAUAAUAUUUAAUAGCACAUUUUAGGGAGAAGACUGUUGCAGGGGUCUGUUUUAAUAGGAAUAGAAAGCCUUUCUCAUUGGCUACAGUAGUACAAAACUAAAGAUGAAUAGCUUGACAUUUGCCUCCUACCAGCUAAUGCUGUUAAAACAAAAUUCUAUAGUUUUUGCUGGAAAUGUCCUGUUCAACAACUCCGUCCUUAUGUGGACUUGUAACGUAGCAUGAACCGCCUGCUUUGAAAAAAUGCUUACUGAGAAGAAUACAGGAUGUACGUCGCCAAAGCGUACAGAGCGACAGAUGUUACUGCAACGGCUUGGUAAUUACAGAAAAGUUAGAGCAGAGCGGCACAGCUCACCCCUGCCACGCUUUCAAUCCGAGUCUGCUUUGUGUGCCAAGGGAGGGCUCAGUGUUUACACACACAUUAAUGAGAAAUCCAAGGUGAGACUGAUUAAAUCUGGAAAGUAUCAUCCCCAUUAAAACAGCGUGAUGACUCUCCUUCUCCAGCAAAGCUAUGACUGCACAUCUGCAAUUCACCGCUCAUGUAAGAAUGAGUCAAUGAGCAGCUUUUGUUUUCUGGCCAAGGUCAUGGCACUCUUUAACUGCUCCCUCUCAUUAUACUUCUGUUUGAAUUGCAAUUAAUAUCAACAAGCUCCAGAAUUAUGCAUAAGAUUCUUGACUUUUUUUUUCAAAGUUAUAUCUUCGAAAUCAUGUUUCUAGAUUUUUAAACGGCAGCCUUUCUUGUAACAUUUAAAAAAAUCAAUAUUGUGCUACUGCCACAACCUACAUUUAAAAUGUAUAAUUUGGUUACCCAUAUAUGGUUUUCAUUAGACACAUGUCAAACUCGCAGACAACCAAAACUGGCUCACCAAGUCACUUCAUGUAGCCUGUGAGAGACUGACACGUUUGGCAUACACUGAGACCAGUAUAUAUAAAUAUUGUGACACAUGGCAAACACAUGGUUUAAGCUGUUUUUCAACAGAAAUAAAUAUAGACACCAAUAAGUUCCUGCAAUCAUCCAAAAAUGGGUGGAGAAAAGCUGAUUUUGAUGAUGGAUGUCUAUUGUCUAUUGAGUUUUCAGUCACUCGGUAAUGAAGGUCAACAAGUUCCGUACACCAAUUGAGACAGGUCAGUUAAAGUUAGCAUCAAAUCAUAAGGCAAGCAGAUAUUGUUUACACUCUCUGUGAUGUGUUAAAAAUUGUGGUCGCUUGUGUGACUUUGUUUCACACAUCAAGGUUUUAAAAUGUGUCUGAUUCCUGAAAUAAAACAUUGUCGCCCCUGCCUUGCCAUUAUGACCUGGAUAAGCUGUUCAAAGAAUAUGAGGUUAAAAAAGGUUGUUCAUUGUUGAGGAUUCAAACUUACUUUGAGAGGUCAUGUCAUAAGGUGAAUCAAAGGUCAGACAACCAAGACUGAAUAGGAGAAAAAGCUGGAAGAUCUGGCGCAUUUACGUGACUACAUUAUUUUUUUUAGGCCAAGGCUUCUCUGCACUGACAUCUGUAGUUAUGACCUUGUAAUAGUAGUAUUAGGUUAGUAUUUUAAUCUGGAAUAAGGAAAUUAGGACUAUGAUAUGGACAAAAAAAAUCUUGUUCUAACAUUCAACGCCAGACCUUGUUGAGAAGGUGCUCCAAGAUCCAGCGCAGAUUAUCAUCUUCUGCGUCAGAUGUACAUUUUGUGUGCGUCAGUUUGAAAUGCGAAUUCAAAAACCCAACAAUAGCCACCAGCAAUCUCUGAUCUUCCACAGAAGCUGGAUGCACCUGCAGGAACCUGCAAGGAGAAGCAGUAAAUGACAAUCCUGGCACCGAACGUGUUCAAUUGUGAAUGACAUUCCAUAUUUUCUGCUUGCUUUUACUCGAAUCAUAAGUGACUCUCUUGAUGACGGACAGUCAACAAAAGAGAACAGUGACAAGCAUCGAGGAGCAGAUGUACUGCACGAUGGAACUUUUUACCAGCAGCUCCUGCAGGGCUCCCUAUCGAGAGAUUUGUGAGUCAUCAUCAAAACAAAGGAUUUUUUUUUUUUUUUUGCAAAAAUGAAACUCCGUCUGUGGAAUACUGGAAGUAAGGUAACUUUUUAAAGAGUUAAUAACAUUUGACAGCCCAUCCAUCCCCAUCUGUUAAACAUUACCCGUGCCAGAACUGUAAACAGGAAAAGGUUGAAAAGUAGAUGCCUGGGAAACCUCAGUGAAAGUCAGAUUUUAUAAUAUCAUCUGCUCUUGUAAGAAGUUUACUGUGAAUACAAAAGCAUCCGUGAGAGGUUCGUCAGGAAACAGGCCUUCACACAGUCUUAGUGCAUCUAAGCAGCCAUUCUCAUAUGAGGAAAUACAUGUAUAACAUAGAAAGAAAGGUCAUGCAUAAUAGUCUUUGUGAAAGGAAUAUCACCAAUUUACUUUUCAAAAAUUAAUACCAAUUUUGUCUUGAUUUAUUCACGUACAUGUUGUUAUUUUUGUUUGAGUCCAUCCAUCCUUAAGCUAUAUUUCAAUAGCCCACAUGCCCAUUAGUUGCAAGGUUCCAACAGUCAGACAGCUUGUUUUGAAUUGCACUUGUUUGUUUACCUCGCAACUGCAGCUCGCCAAGUGAGAGAGUGGAGCGUUCCUCUGUAGCUAAAAGUGGGAACGUGAGGAAGAGCCAGCCUGUCAAUCAGCAAGUAGAGGUUGAGCCUGGACAGGGCAGAGGUCACUGAACUGUGUCCCUCAGCAGUAACUAUGGUCUGGACGCAGUCCUGCAGCGCAGCUGGAGGGUGAAUAGCACGGAGUGACAGAACUUGAGCUUCUGACAGCUGCAGGUCUGCAUGAAAUCUGAGGGGUAAACACAGUUAGGGAAAAUGGCUGUGCAAAAUGAUCACAUUUUAAAUGUGCUCUUAAACAUUAGUGAUCACAAUUUCUUCCAAUAAAUGAAGAAACGACGAUCUCUAACGCACAUUGCACCAUUAGCUUGAAGAUUAUCGUUAUUUAAAAGCUUCUUUAAACAAUAUCUCGUUGAUAAUUGGACCGACACUCAGACAGAAACAUUGCUGGGAGAACAAAAGACAUGAAUACAAAGUGGGGAGAAAUCAUCCCUCAUAUAUCAUUAAGUUUGUGUCUUCCGAGUAAGAAAAUGUCAGACAGAUUCAUCCAGUGCUCAGCGCCUUGCUAAUUAAGUCAGAAUGAUUUGACAAACACCCUCAUCCAUUUCGUUUAGGUUCAUUAGAAGAGAAUAAAUAUAAAUAAAGUGUCUGGUGUUUAUAAUGCAGAUGGAUAUACGAUCCCAAAGAAACAGAUAAUUCUUUCAAAAACAUAAAGAAUGAACCUUUAAAGUUCUCAUUAACAUGAAUCAAUCUCUGCAAGAGAUGGUUAUGUACAUAUAAGGUAUCAGUACUUUUUACAGGGACCUUGGCUUAAGAAUAACAUAACUUUUAACAUUUCAUAUAACAAUGAUCAAAUUUAAGUUGAAUCAGUACACACAAGCUUAAAGAUGAAGUGGAACUAUUUGCUGUGUUAAGUGCAGAAAACAACAUUUAACCUCUGUUCUUUAUCAAUUAUUAUUUAUUUAACACAAUUUAUUUUAACACAAUUUUACAGUCCUUACUCCUCGGCAUCAUGGCUGCUCGGCAGCUUGUCCAAAAGGUUGUCCAUCCCAGAAUGCCAUGCCACGUUCCAAGCGACCUGGAGAGCAUGGCGAGCUGGGGCCAAGGUCAGCAGGUCAGAAGAAGGCGCCAGGAUGCAGCAGUAAGGACUAACAGCAUGGUGGCUUGCUGCCUGGAAUGGUAUGUUGUACCUGAUGGAUUGACAAAUUACAGAUAAUAAAGCUAACAAAUAUCACAAUAGUUUAUCUCUGACUUAAUAUAACUUUAAUAUAAUUUCCAUUGCAUUUUACCUGCGGCUUACUGAGAGUGGUAGUGAGAACGUUGAUGUUGGAUUACCGCUGCACUUAUCUGACCUUGGGGGAAACGCAAGGUUGAGAAACUACUGACCAGACCACAUACUGCAAGAGUGCGAUGGAUUAUCUUUGAAAGAACCUACCACAUGUUGAUGUCUGCAAUUUCAUCAAACAGCAGUAAACACAUCAGGACAGCAAUAUCACUCCCACUGCUUUUGAUUUCCUUUAAAAUGAAGGAUGCUGCAAUAAAAACAAUUACCCUAUUGAACAGAUUCUCCAUCAGAUUAACAUCAUUCUCAUUUACAGAUAAAAUAAGUUCAUCAUGACUGACAGAAGUAUAAAUGUUUUCUAUCAUCGCUUGGAUACAUUAAGUUGAUCCUGCCUUUGUUUGACUGCAGCACAGAAUAUGAAGCAGCGUUUUAGGGGAAAAAAAUACUCCACGUGAAAUAUAAAAUAUGCUAAUAAUGGUGUGACACCAGCAUGAAAUUUAACAAUGUCACAGUGUGGUUCAGAACUAUGAAUCAGAGGGUGACUUAUCUGCUCCGAGUUUGCCCCUGAGCAACAAAACCAAACAUGGAUGGUUGUUAUUUAAUGAGUUGUCUUGUGACUGUACCUCUGAGCAGUUGGAGAAGCAAGGGGUUGCGCAGUGCCAGGCUGUGCCUCAGAGCGGGAUCCGCGUACACCAGCUUCCUUAGAAUACAUAUACAGGGCUCCAGCAUGCAGUCCAUGCUCUGGAGGAUACAAGCACACUUGCUAUUUAAUUGAAGGGGAACAAUAGUAGCAAACACAGACUCUCAGUCGCAGUCUCACUCUCUGCCUGCCU